rnacentral:rRNA from 1 species
UAAUACGGAGGAUGCAAGCGUUAUCCGGAUUUAUUGGGUUUAAAGGGUGCGUAGGCGGAUGAGUAAGUCAGUGGUGAAAGCCUGCAGCUUAACUGUAGAAUUGCCAUUGAUACUGCUUGUCUUGAGUACAUUUGAGGUGGGCGGAAUAUGACAUGUAGCGGUGAAAUGCUUAGAUAUGUCAUAGAACACCGAUUGCGAAGGCAGCUCACUAAACUGUUACUGACGCUGAGGCACGAAAGCGUGGGGAGCAAACAGGAUUAGAUACCCUGGUAGUCCACGCCCUAAACGAUGAUCACUCGAUGUUGGCGAUACACUGUCAGCGUCUAAGGGAAACCAUUAAGUGAUCCACCUGGGGAGUACGGUCGCAAGACUG